CACACGAACGGCCAUUUUGUUUGGAAGUUUUGGGGAAGAAAGGAGUAGGAGAUUACGGUCGCUGUUUAUUUCAUCACGAUAAAAGAUAACAAAAAUAUCGCGUUAAAUUUCAUCAAGCAACGCUUUAGUACGCUGAUUUUUUUUAACCACAGCACUGAGUCCAGAAAUACAGACUCAGUGAGCUACGUGGCGCCGUAAAGCAGGAGCGCGAAAACAAGAAGCCAUUCAUUUUGCAAGCGUGGUCGGCAUCUGUGGCCUUUCUUAUGGCCGAUCUCUCGAAAUAGAUUUUUGAACAAAGGACGUUGUAUAUCUGUAACGUUAAGCCGUUACCUCGUUAAUCGCAACGUAUUGCAAUUUUUGCUGGAGUGUUUUUGUUGCGUUCCUAAAAUUUGCAACAAAAAACAAUUUGCUAAUAGUAGCUUACGCUAGCUAUAAUUUCAGCUAGCGAGCUAACGCUAGCAAUCAAAGAGCUCUGACGUAGCUAGCUAUAAGAUACUGUAAAUUGUUGCGGCAAAUAUCAAAGAAAUAUGGCAGAAUUAUAUAUUCGUGUGGCAGAGGACGAAAAUGAGGAGCCGAUGGAGAUCCCGUCUGAGGACGAUGGCACCGUUUUGCUAUCUACUGUUGCAGCGCAGUUCCCCGGAGCGUGCGGCCUGCGCUACCGGAGUCCUGUUUCUCAGUGCAUGCGUGGUGUCCGCUUGGUCGAAGGUAUUCUGCACGCCCCCGAGAGUGACUGGGGAAAUCUGGUGUACGUCGUCAAUUACCCUAAAGAUAACAAACGGAAGAUGGACGAGGUUGACGCCGCGUCUGCUGUUAAAAUAAAGAGGGGUGUCCAGAAGACCUCAGACUUGAUUGUCCUUGGUUUGCCCUGGAAGACGUCGGAACAAGACCUUAAAGACUACUUCAGCACCUUUGGAGAAGUGAUUAUGGUGCAGGUAAAGAGAGAUGUGAAGACCGGAAAUUCCAAAGGUUUUGGCUUCGUACGGUUUACGGACUAUGAAACUCAAGUGAAAGUCAUGUCUCAGCGCCACAUGAUUGACGGGAGGUGGUGUGACUGUAAACUUCCCAACUCUAAGCAAGGUCCCGAUGAGCCAAUGAGAAGCAGAAAAGUGUUUGUUGGCCGCUGCACAGAAGACAUGUCCGCAGAGGAGCUCAGGCAGUUCUUCAUGCAGUACGGCGAGGUCACUGACGUCUUCAUCCCAAAGCCAUUCAGGGCUUUUGCCUUCGUGACUUUCGCAGAUGACCAGGUUGCCCAGUCCCUGUGUGGCGAGGACCUGAUCAUUAAGGGCGUCAGCGUGCACAUCUCCAACGCAGAGCCUAAGCACAAUAAUAUUCAUCACCUCUUUUCCAAUUUCCCGGGAAGAAGCCCUUCAUUGGCAGCAAUGUUCGAGCAAGCUCAGUUUCAGUUCCCCUCUCCCCAUGUGUAAAUGCUUUGCCAUCAAAGAACGCAGCUUCACUCCGCAUUUACUGUGUUAGACGGGACCUUCGGAUACCGCUGACCCAGGUUUACAUCUGAACCCUGAGCGAAGUGAGUUUUCGGGAGACUGAAGACCGGAGUCAGCGGAGUGUUGGUGGUCCCAACACUAGCUAACAGUGGGGGAUGCAGCCGAUUGCCUUAUUCCUGAAAAGGGACUUCAUCACUUCACUGUAACAGGAUCCCUGGGAACUCGACUCUAAAAAAAUUUUAAAUGGACAAUUGGAAAUUAGGGAAGAGCUAUUCAUUUAUGCCUUAUGAAAACGAAUUAAAGGCAGGGCCAAAAACUGAAUUCUUGUUCAUGAAACGCUUGUAUAGCCGAUUAUUCCCCUCAUUCCCCUACAAGUGACUCUUAAAGCAUUAAGAUGAAAGUUAUUUUAAAUCUUUGGUCUGUUAAUUUACUGUGUAUUCUGGCAUACUUGUCAAAUAGAGGGACUUGUGUUUUCUCUUCACAAAACUUGCAUUGUGUUAAAUGCUUUAACCCACAACAGCGAUUUUUGUAAUUGUAAUGCUAAAUUUCCGUCGACAGAUUUUUUUUUUUUUCUUCCCUAAAGCAGUAUGUGGAUCCUGCUGUUUUGCUGCAUAGACUUCGCCCAUUAUUGUGGUUAAAAUGUGAAAUUUCCAUUCAGACUGGUAGGGACUACUUGUGAUGUUGCUCUGAAGGAGGAUGGGGGGUGGAAUUGUAUGACUUGUAUCACUUUUGCAGGGUUUGGGACAUUGACAAUGCACAGCUAAUAAAAUUUGCCACCAGGAAUCAAAUCACCUAUGUAUUACAUUUCGUCAAGUCUUUUUAGUCAUUUCAACUGUAAAAUAAACUUGUAAAAUUUUCAUUUGUUUUUUUUUUUUUCCCCUCCCUCCCCUUUCCCAUCAAAUUUUCCUCCAUUGUAGAAUUGACUAAAUUUUAUUUGGCAUUUAACUCGAUACUAAGCCUGUUAAUAAGGGCACCAUUCGCAAGUUCAGGAUUAUAGUGUAUUUGGAAAGUUGUAAGCAAGUGCGAGUCUCUUGCAUCACUUUCUCAGUACUGAUUAAGCACUUUGAAUGAGAACAAGUGGUACGGUUGCUUAACUUUCUAGUUUCUCUUGCUGGUGGGUGAUGGGGGUGGCAUCAGUAUCUGCCUUGAAAAGACCAAUAGUAGGCUCGGGUGCAUUUCUGUGUUCUACCUUUGGAAAAAUGAGACAAAUCGUACAGUGCAGGCUCAGCAUUGGCCUCAAGUCAUUUUAACUAACUGAAUAAUGGGCUGAAACCACUUUUAUACUGACGGGGAGGCAAAGAUACCUCUGGAGUCAAGGCCGCCAAGAAUUAACUAAUCAAUACUUGACUUGAAUGUUUACCGUCGAGCCAAGCUUCUCUACUUUGGAUAGAGCCAAUUGUCUGGGGGAAGUCAGGUGUAACUUUUGAAGGAAUCUGCAUGUUCUGCUCAAAGCGGGUGCCAAACUAGGCCUGGUGGGUUACCAUGCUUGUUUUGCAUUAGCAACUUCACUCAGGUAGCCCCAAUCGUUUGCUGAAUUUGGAAUUAUGUGAUAAAUCACCAAGACACUAGCUGGUCUGUGCUUUAUGUUAUUGCUGGAUUUUUUGGAAGAUAUGUAAUUAUUCAUUUUGUCUACUUAAGCUUGGUUGGAGCCGAAACCAGCAUGUAUGUAGCCUGCAGUUGAAGUUUGGCACCCAUUCACUUGAAUUCAACAUUUGUCAUAUUUUCACUUUCUAAAUGAAGUUACAAUAAUAUCCUGCUUUCGGGAUGAGUAAAAUGUAUCAUUGGGAUGUCUUGAUUGAAAACAAUUUUUUUUUCUUUCUUUUUUUUUUUCUUUAACAAGUUAUUACUUUUGCACUUUGACGAUCAGCAAGGGAAAGAAUUUUCAGUCGGGUCUCUGUAAAUACGAAAGAUUUGCAAUCAGCUGAACUAAGGAAACGUGCAUCGGAGACGUAGAGGCACACAACUAAUGGUGAAGGGGAAUUGUGGAUCCCUGAAACACUGAAGUUGAUGUGCUUGCUGUGACUGAAUAAAUGAACCAGAUUGUA